rnacentral:rRNA from 1 species
UAACGCGUGAGGAACCUGCCUUCCAGAGGGGGACAACAGUUGGAAACGACUGCUAAUACCGCAUGAUGCAUUGAAGUCGCAUGGCUUUGAUGUCAAAGAUUUAUCGCUGGAAGAUGGCCUCGCGUCUGAUUAGCUAGUUGGUGAGGUAACGGCCCACCAAGGCGACGAUCAGUAGCCGGACUGAGAGGUUGGCCGGCCACAUUGGGACUGAGAUACGGCCCAGACUCCUACGGAAGGCAGCAG